GUGGGGAGACACAGUCGGAGCCUGAAUGUAGUUUGAAGGAAGAGUGGGCAGGAUUGGGGGGGAUAGGCGUGGGGUGCGGAGGGGGAGUCAGCGACCCUUAGGCGUUUAGCCUGCGCCGGGAAGGAAGGAGGCCAGGAGCCGCGGAAGACUAGGGCUGUGGUGUGAGCCUCCCAGUGGCCUCGCUGGGCCCGCAGGGCGGCCUACGACGCUGGCAUUCAGGGCCCAGGUCUGGGCUGGAGAUGCAGAUUGGGAGUCACUUUCAUCUUCGUAGCGUUAAGGCCCAGGAUGAGGUUACUAAGGAGGGGAGUGUAGACGGAAACGAGGUCAGGGAGUGGGAGCAGGGGCCUGCGAGGCGGUGCUGGAGCGAUCCAGGAGAGAGAUGGGAGUGGCCUGGAGCAGGGCGGGGCAGGAGGGGCAGUCGUCGGGAGAUGCUGCGAGGGCAGGUCCCCAGCAGCCUGAUGGUCCCCCCACAGCGGCCGGGGAGCCACUCAUUACUCGUCGCUCUCGAGGGACACAGCGAUGACUGAGACAGCCUCCACGCCGCCCUCAGAGCACAGCCCGGGCGGAGACCCUCGCCAGACAGGCUGUGGGGCCCAGAGGGAGCGCCUGACACGAUUCAAGGAUCCAAUCCAAGAUGCUACGCUGCGUUUAUUCAUCACGUCUCCUUGGUCUCCUCCAACCUGUGACAGUUCCCCGGUCUCUCCUUGUUUUUCAUGCCCGUGACAGUUUGAGGAGUACCGGUCAGGUGUUUUCUAGAAUGUCCCUCAGUCUGAUCUGUCUGACGUUUUCCUCGCGGUUAGAUCGGGAUCAUAGGUGUGAGGAGGAGGACCCCUCAGCUGGUGUUGACCUGGCUCCCUUCAUUCCGGUGGCGUCUUCUGGGUUCCUCGGCUGGAGCGUCACUGUUUUUCCCUCUCUUUACUCUGUCACGAAAUCCAGCCCACACUCGGAGGGAGGAGAAUUAAGCUCCAGCUCCUGGAGGGAAAAAUACCAAAGAAUUUGUCUGCAUGUGUUAAGACCACCACAGUAACUAAUAAACAUGGGAAGAUACGUGGCAGCCGUGCAAAGGCCGUGCUGUUCUCAGUUCCACAGCUCGUUUUAGCGUUCGUCCACGGCAGUUACUACUGUGGUGUUCCAGUGGCGAUUUCCUAUUUCCUUCACUUCUUCUGCAGUUGUUAUUUGGGAUUCUUCUGUAGGAAGAUUUGUCCCCACUACCUUGUUUAUUUUCUUUGUACAGUCGUUAAUUUAUAUCAGUCUGGACUCACGGAUGUUUGUUUUAUUCUUUGGGUGUAACCCAAGAAUAUCGCAAUUAAUUUUUUCAGUCAGAUUGUUCCAGUUUGGGCCAUGGGGCUCUUUCAGGUUUCCUCCUGUGUUUUGUUUUUUUUUUUUCUUCCUCCCUUGAGCACCUCCUUACCUCCUGGCGCUGUGAGAUGCUCCAGACUUGUCUUGUGUUUUCCCUGCUCCGGCCCUGGGAUCGCCAUUUCUCCAGGGGGCCCUGGUUCCUUCUGUUGGAGGUGGACUGAGACACCUAGGUCUGGGCACUGAGCGUGGUCAUUGCUGCUGGGCUGUCACUGUUUCUAGUCCCCGUCAGCUGACAGAGCUGGCAAAUACAUGUCUUUGUACAAACCCAGUAUACCCAUGUCUAUACUCUGUAUGUGGAUAGAUACAGACAUCUGUGCAUGAAGAGAAACGUGAGUCUGUACUGAUAGCUCUGACCAGCCCGAGGGUUGGUCCUCGCCUCUCCCUGGCUUACUUAGUGACUUCCUUCUCCGACCGUGAGAAGCCUGGCUCUGUGGUCACUAUUCGUGUCUGUCUUGUGGGCCCCCUUGGCAGACGCUAGCAGCGCUGGCCGUUCCCGCCUUCUAUAAGGACACUCUCCCCUCCGUUUCUGUGAUGAUGCUGGCCCCUGAGCUUUCUCCUCUGUCUUGCUUCUUUGCAGGAAGUUCCUGUUUUCACGGAUCCCUUAAAUGUGGGGGCUCUUCUGUCCUCCCCCCUGGGCCAUCUUACACUCUUUUAUGGUCUCUUUCCUGUCUCUGUGCUGAUGGCACCCACUCUCUGCCCUCAGUUCUGACCUGUUCCCUGAGCCCCAGACCUGGGGGUCCUGAGGCCUCACGAAGCCCCCUCCUGCCCUCAGCCCUGGAUGAUCCCUGCGCCCCGAACACUCACCUUGUCCCAAAUUGCAAACCUGCUCCUCCUCUCGGCCCCUGUCUCAGGAGUGGCCCCUCCGUACCCCAGGCUCACGAGAGAGCCCCGAGCCCGUCUUUGAUGCCUCGCUCCCCACCCCGGCCACCAGCUCCACCCGUCAGUCUCCCUAGCUUGUCCACCAGGACUCCUGGCUGUCUCCCCCAUCUGCCCCCUUCUCGCCUUUCAUGGCCCUGCCUUGGUCCACCCUGUCCUCUCCCACCUUGUCUCUGCCUGACCUCCUCCCGGGCCCUGGCCUCCCGUCUCUCUGUAACCCACCUCCACUUGGCCCUUAGAGGGACUUUUGUGGAACGCAGAUCUGAUCAAGUCCUCCUGCCUGGAGCUUUCCCGUGUUUCUCCAGUGUCCUCAGGACAAGGUCCUAACUCCUUAACCCAAGGCUUGGUGCCACUGGCCCCUGACCAUCACCUCGGCCUGUGUCCUGACUGCCUAAGCUUCAGACACUGAACUUCUUGUUUCCUUGAACGUGACCCGUGCACCACCCGGGCCUCCGCGUGGACCCUGCGCCAGCAACCCUCAGCCCUGCCGGCCCUGCCCGGUCCGCGCCCACCCACUUUCUCCCCGCUCACAUUGUUUUGAGACAGUCCCAGACAUCAUCCUCUGUAGGGAUGGCGAGUAAAUGUCAGCAGUGGGCAUUUCUGAGUGUAGGAAGCAGGAGGGGAGCUUUACUGUUAAAAAAUGUUUGCAGGGAACAUGUUUUCAUCGCACAGUAAUGUGACACCAGUAGCUGUUGUGGGGGAAGAAGUUAACUAAACAAGAAACAGUCACAUCAUCUUUGAGUUUAAGAGGAAAAGACUUUCAGGAAUCAUCUUAUCUCUUUCAAGAUUCCAGAGCAGCAAGCAGAGAGUAGAGAUGUGUUUCUCUGGGCGUGGUGACCGCGACGCCACAGUGACCUUUAAGGGGUGCCUGUAAGCUUCCUUUUAAAUCACGCCAACUGAGGGAAUUUUCUACCGUUAAUUUUCACAGUUUUUGUAAACAUGACUCGUGAUUUAUCUAAAUGGUAUCUUACAAGCGUUAGGAACAACUAAAUUACAUAGAAGGACUUCAUCCGUGUGAAGGAAGGUUCCUCCGGUACAUUGGUGUUGGGAGAAUUCUUGGCUUCUACUCUGAUACGAGUGGCUACCGGGACGGUGAAUUCCGUGGAAAGGAGCCGUGAAUGCAUCCGUUUCGAGACCUUUUGCAGUUUUAAAUCUGACCAGCACGUGCUUUAAUAAUAAAUGGCAACAUUUACACGGCGCCACCUUCGCGCCAGGCACCUCGUCAGCUCUUGAUGUGCAUUGAUUCCGUGGUCCCCACCCAGCCCUCAGGACGGAGCUGCUGUCGUCGUGCCAGGUGGUCUGUGCGGCAUUCAGAACUGAAGGCCCUUCCCCCAGGUUCCAUCGCUAGACAGUGGCAGCACUGAGGCUUGAACCCGGGUCCUGGUUGCUUCUACUGUCUGUGCCUUCAAGCACCUUUCUCCUGGAUUCCAUUCUCAAAGGAGAUGCUCACGUUGCUGCUGGUGCAGUCGCUUCUUUUUGGAAGAAGGGCUUCAAUUACUUUUCUCUCCAGCUGCUAAAAAUCUUUUUUGACAUCCCCAAUUAUUUGUAAAGAAAAAGACUUUUAACUGCUUUUUUAGGGACAAUUUCCAACGUACACAAAAGCAGAGAGAAAAGUGUAAUGAACGCCCACGUCCCCAUCAUCCAGCUGCUACAGUCACUGUGAGGGGGCCAUUUCUGUGCCGUCCAUGUCCUGCACAUUUUUCUUCCCUGCUCAGUUAUUUUGAAGCGAAUCUAGAUACAUCUUUUUAAGACAUUUUCUUUUAAAGGAAAGGUAACCCACAAUUCCUUGCUCCGAGUCCUCCCUGAGCCUCUGUUCCCACUCCCCCAGUUUCCAGAAGCAGAGGGAUCUGUGCGUGUGGGACACCAUCCCCUGGCUCUCCCUGGCCCCUUUCCUGUAACCCCAUCCUCCAGGCCUUUCUCCCCGGCGCUCUGAAGCCUGAAAACGAUCCCUCUUCGUGACUGUGGCCAGCCUGGUGCCGCUUGGCAGCCCCGUCACCCGCAGCGGGACAUUUAAUCUGCAGUGGCUUCUUGCCAUGGUUGUAGCCUCUUCCCUUAUUUGGGUUCUUUUCUGGAUGCCCCCGCCACCCAAACCAGGUCAGGCCUCCUGUCCCACCAACUGCGCGCUGUAGCUUCCCCUCAGGCACGUUACGUGUAAGAGUCAAAACGAAACAGAGAUUUGUGUACUUAUCUAUCAGUUGCCCGGGAGCUCCAUGGGGCAGGAAUCAGGUCUGUCUUCAUCCCCGCCGUGUCCCCUGCGUCACCCAGCACAGGGCCCCACAUCAGCAGGUGCUCAGUCCCAGUGAGGCAUGAAUGAAUGAGUGUUUGCCAGAGUCAAUAGCUGGGCAUUUAUCAUGAAGGCAAUAGGAAGCGACAGAGGUGUUUUGGGCAGGACUGGACCCGUUGUUUUCAAACUGCCGUGUGUAUAGAUCCCCUGAGGGCUUGUUAAAAUGCAGAUUCUUGAGUCACUGGGUCUCGGGAGGGGUCGGAGGGGCCUGAAGUUCCACGUCUCUGACAAGCGCCCCAGUGAUGCCAAUGUUUUGAGUAGCCAGGGUCUUGCUGUGUUCAGGACAGCAGCUACCUACCUCCCGUGGCUGCUGGGCACCUGCAGUGCGGCUAAUGUGAGCCGAGAUGACUUUAAGUGUAAAAUACCCACCAGGUUUCAAAGACUCAGUCCAAAAAACAGAAUGUAAAAUAUCUCAAUAAUUUUUGUAUUGAUCACAUGUUAAUCUGAUCACAUGUAAUAUUUUGGAUAUAUCGGAUUAAAUAAAAUAUAUUAUUAAAAUUAAUUUUACUUGUUUCUUUUUCUUUUAAUGUAGCUACCAGAAAAUUUAAAAUUAUGUUUGUGGCUCACAUUUGUGGGUCUCAUUAUGUUUCUGUUGGAUCGUGCUGGUCUAGAACAUUCCAGACUCCAUCUCACCUCUGCGCACUUGUACAUGCUUUUUGGAGCACUCUUCUUUCUCCCAACCUCCUCCUCACAACUAAUUCCAUACAUCUUUCAGGCCUCCUUUAGAAUGUCUCCUCCUCCGGGAAGCCCUCCGUGAUCCCCCCGGGGGGGGUGGGGUCGGGUGUCUGUUGUGGGCUUCCACAGCUCUCUGGGUUUCCUCCAGCCUAACCCUGCCCAUCUGUGAUGUCAGCAUCUAAAUAUCUGUCCCCCUCUUUACGUGGACAUCUCCAUGAGGAUGGGGACAAAGUCUGUCCUGGUCGCCACUUCACCUCUAGAAUCCGGCACAGAGUCGGUAAAUCUCCAUUCACUGACUUAAGAAACGACAAGUAAGAUGUGGGUCUUGCAAAUCCGACAGCUCUUGAACUGGACUGUGAGGUCAGCUGUGGAGGCCUGGGUUGUGUCCCCUGACACCAGCGGAGCCUGGGGGGCUGCCUGAAGCGUCUCACCGGAUGUUCAGGAGACGCGCAGUGCUCUCCACAGUCGCUGCAGAAUCAUCCUGCCUCGGCCCUGAGCUGCCCCAGAGUGCCUCUCUCGGGAUUCGUCCUCUGCUGGUACCGGAUGUCUGAGUGGGGACUUACCUUUUCUUUGUUCAUUUCUAUCAGCUGCUGUUAGGACAACACAGAUUCUGGUGAAGAUUUUUCCCAGUCUGAGAUUGCCCGUAUUCUUUUCUGUCUUUCAAUUGCAUAGAAACGUUGCUUUGAAGAAAUAGUCAUGAAGAAACAGUCUGUUGGUCUUCUCCUUUGAGAUUCUCUUGCUUCCCUAGCUCUGUGAUUAAUCUGAUAGGAAAAGGUGCCGGACCUCGUCAGUCAGCAGGGAAAGACGUUAAGUGCACGCGGAGGUCAGCUGCCUCUCACGCCAG
rnacentral:lncRNA from 1 species